UGUAGAUCCCGCUCACAGAGAGCAGGACAAACGGCAGUAACCCUGGGCUCCCCCUUGUGUUCCAUGUAGAUCCCGCUCACAGAGCAGGACAAACGGCAGUAACCCUGGGCUCCCCCUGUGUUCCAUGUAGAUCCCGCUCACACAGAGCAGGACAAACGGCAGUAACCCUGGGCUCCCCCUGUGUUCCAUGUAGAUCCCGCUCACAGAGCAGGACAAACGGCAGUAACCCUGG